rnacentral:rRNA from 1 species
UUGACCUCAAAUCAGGUAGGACUACCCGCUGAACUUAAGCAUAUCAAUAAGCGGAGGAAAAGAAACUAACAAGGAUUCCCCUAGUAACUGCGAGUGAAGCGGGAAAAGCUCAAAUUUUGAAUCUGGCGGUCCUUGUGGCCGUCCGAGUUGUAAUCUAGAGAAGCGUCUUCCGCGCUGGACCGUGUACAAGUCUCCUGGAAGGGAGCAUCAUAGAGGGUGAGAAUCCCGUCUUUGACACGGACUGCCAGUGCUAUGUGAUGCGCUCUCGACGAGUCGAGUUGUUUGUGAAUGCAGCUCAAAAUGGGUGGUAAAUUCCAUCUAAAGCUAAAUACAGGCGAGAGACCGAUAGCGAACAAGUACCGUGAGGGAAAGACGAAAAGAACUUUGAAAAGAGAGUUAAACAGUACGUGAAAUUGCUGAAAGGGAAACGCUUGAUGUCAGUCGCGUUCGCCAGGGAUCAACCUUGCUUCAUCGCUUGGUGCAUUUCUUGGUCGGACGGGUCAGCAUCAGUUUCGAUCGAAGUAUAAUGGGGGAGGGAAUGUGGCACCUCUAGGGGUGUGUUAUAGCCUUUCGUCGUAUGCUUCGGUAGGGACUGAGGAACUCGACACG